UAAACCUGGUUGAUCCUGCCAGUAGUCAUAUGCUUGUCCCAAAGAUUAAGCCAUGCAUGUCUAAGUAUAAACAAAUCUAUACUGUGAAACUGCGAAUGGCUCAUUAAAUCAGUUAUAAUUUAUUUGAUAGUCUCUUUAUCAUUGGAUAACCGUGGUAAUUCUAGAGCUAAUACAUGCAACAAGCCCGACUUUUG
rnacentral:rRNA from 1 species